CUUGCUUCCGCCGACGACCGGCGCACGGGUGCGUAACGCGUAUACAAUCUACCUUAUACUGGGGUAUAGCCUUUAGAAAUGAAGAUUAACCCCCCAUAGUCUCUUAGAGUGGCAUCACUUCUAGAGUAAAGGUUACGGUAUAAGAUGAGUAUGCGUUCUAUUAGUUUGUUGGUGUGGUAACGGCACACCAAGACUACGAUAGAUAGGGGCCCUGAGAGGGGGAUCCCCCACACUGGUACUGAGACACGGACCAGACUCCUACGGGAGGCAGCAGUGAGGAAUAUUGGACAAUGGAGGCAACUCUGAUCCAGCCAUGCCGCGUGCAGGAAGACUGCCCUAUGGGUUGUAAACUGCUUUUAUACAGGAAGAAACACCUCUACGUGUAGAGGCUUGACGGUACUGUAAGAAUAAGGAUCGGCUAACUCCGUGCCAGCAGCCGCGGUAAUACGGAGGAUCCAAGCGUUAUCCGGAAUCAUUGGGUUUAAAGGGUCCGUA
rnacentral:rRNA from 1 species